CCGAGCUCAUCAGAGCCUCUUGGCGGCUCUCUGAGCGAGUCUCUGAGCCCCGGAGGUGACGGCUGACAUGUUGCCUCCUCGGAGUUUCGGCGCGUCUCGGAGACAUGUUUCAAUGGUUUCUUCUCCACAUAAUGGACAACACCAUUUUAUAAUUUUGUAGAUUUUUUGUAGAUUUUGCAAUUUCCGCUUAAGCCAAGACAGACCGGGGGUUUACCCGGGUAAAAAAAAUUAGGCGUGGCUUAUUUAGCCUACCAUUCUGCACUAUAGGCUACUCUGUUCACCUGUUCACAGAACGCAAGCUCGUUUACCUUGUGUCUCUGUUAGAAUAAACCACCUGUGGAACAUUAACCACUCUCCGAGUCAUACCUAGCCCGAGACGACCAUACCACAAAGGAUCGAAUUUGGAGUCGGAAUGAAGUGGCUUUUUUUAUUAAUUCCAGCCUUUACCGGUAAGUUGGUAAGCGUGGACUAUAUUUCGAGUGAGAGCGUGUGGGCCGGUGAACAUGCGACUAUCUCGCAUUCCAUCGGAUAUAAACAAUAGGUCUAAAUUACUCGCAGUUUUAUCUGGUAAAUAUCAACUUAUUCUCAAACUUUAAAUGAGGACUAUACACCCUGCUCCCUGGCUUGGGGCAGGGCGUGGAAUGCAAGUGCCCAUACUCGCGCUGCGGGAUGAGCCGGGGAUGUCCCGGUGGGUCGAUAGUCACGGGACUUUUUUUUGUAGAUAUUGGUCCGACCGGUCCAUAAAACCAGUUGAUCAGCGGCCCAAUUGACACUGGGCUGGGCCAAUCACUAUCGGCGUGGGGGGUUUCCUCACCAUCAGGGCAUGUCAGGGCAUGUAGCCAACUUCAGUCUGCGUGUCCUCCGGUAACUGAAGUCGACAUUUAGGAUUACCAGUGAUUUUAGAUAUACUAUUUGAUCAUGGUGGGAGUCAAAGUCAAAAAAUAUAAAAAAAUCAGUGAGAUGAAAUGUUCUUGCUUUUCGUAUUUAAUCAAAUAAAUUCAUGAUAUGGUACCCAAAAGCAUGAUGGGUACCAUAUCUGCUCGUUGAAAAUCAUCUAACGUCAACCGUAGCCAACCGUAGCUGUAGGCUGCUCGUUUACUCUCUCAGAGACGAUAUGGCCAAUCAUCAUCUUGUCAAUUGAGAGUGAACGAGCACACGCACAUCGUCAAUGACUUUGCAAACCAAGGCGCGUCGAAUGCCUUGUCAAUAAAAUCGAGAUGAACAGGCCUGUAGGCCUGUAUACAGGUUGGGUUGCAAAAUGGCAUUUUUACAAUUCCUCAAACUACAAACAUUUCUAUCACAAAAUAUAUAGGUAGAUUAUAAAAGGAAAAUAAUUAUAUCAAAUAAAACAGUUUAAGGGUUAUUAUAUUAUGCCCCAACCAGACCUUCUAAUAUUUUUGUUUAUAAUUUGCCAUAUGUAUCUAUACGUUCUUAGAACUUCUAAAACUAUCCAAUAUUAUUGUUGGAC
ensembl:lncRNA